CGGACGGGUGAGUAACACGUGGAUAACCUACCUAUAAGACUGGGAUAACUUCGGGAAACCGGAGCUAAUACCGGAUAAUAUUUUGAACCGCAUGGUUCGAAAGUGAAAGACGGUAUUGCUGUCACUUAUAGAUGGAUCCGCGCUGCAUUAGCUAGUUGGUAAGGUAACGGCUUACCAAGGCAACGAUGCAUAGCCGACCUGAGAGGGUGAUCGGCCACACUGGAACUGAGACACGGUCCAG
rnacentral:rRNA from 1 species